CCUACGGGAGGCAGCAGUAGGGAAUAUUGCUCAAUGGGGGAAACCCUGAAGCAGCAACGCCGCGUGGAGGAUGAAGGUUUUAGGAUUGUAAACUCCUUUUGUGAGAGAAGAUAAUGACGGUAUCUCACGAAUAAGCACCGGUUAACUCCGUGCCAGCAGCCGCGGUAAUACGGAGGGUGCGAGCGGUACCGGGAAUCAUUGGGGGUAAAGGGUGCGUAGGGGGGAUUUUAAGUCAGCGGUAAAAUUCCGUUGCUAAACUCCGGAGCGCCGUUGAAAAUUGGGGUCUUGAGUGUGGGAGAAGUAGGCGGAAUGCGUGGUGUAGCGGUGAAAUGCAUAGAUAUCAAGCAGAACCCCGAUUGCGAAGGCAGCCUACCGGCGCUCAACUGACGCUGAGGCACGAAAGUGCGGGUAUCGAACAGGAUUAGAUACCCCUGUAGUC
rnacentral:rRNA from 1 species